rnacentral:lncRNA from 1 species
UCCAUGUCCGAUGACAACCAUGUGUUUCGGUAUUCAGUCGGCUAUCCGCGCCUUGAUCCAGUGGUCCGCUAUCCCGGUGGCUGCGUUCCUGGCCGUUUUUUUUCGUUCAUCGUGUGUGUUCUGCCCCGAGUGGAGCGUGCCUUUUUUUGGGCUAGUCGUCUUGUGUUACCGUGUGUGGAUACCCGUUCGUUGCUCGGAUAUUUUUCGCGGUCAGUGCGUGUUUCGCGAGUGUGUGUAUGGAAUAACUCACCCCUGCUUAUGUUCGGACGAAUCUCGCGAUGAAUCAAAGGCCGGAGAGCGGUGUGAAACGGACGAUGCUUCGUCUGGGCUAACGGUGGUGCCGAGUUCCCGGAGCCGGGCGUUAACGUUUAUUUAUGUGGAAAGAUGUGAACAAAGUGCAAUCGAAACUGGAUCUCGAUGGGACGCUUCGGCUCGAGCAACACGCCGACGGGGGUCGCCAAACCGCUUUUCCGCGUCCACUACCGAAACUGGUCGAGGACCAGCCGCAGCCGACGCCGCCGCCGAUCAACCACGACACCGCCAACAGCCUCCAAAGGCCCGCCAUCCCGCCGGAGUGCAUGGCCUACUACUGCCAGCGAUGUGGCUACAAACAGAAUUUGAAGACGGAAGAGCUGAACUCGAUCGUGGAGAAUGCGUUUCGGAUGGCGUACGCAGCCCAUCUGCAGAGGCAUCCCAACUUCCGCGACGUCAUCGCUUCUCAAUUAGAGGAGAAACACUUACAGAGGAUGAAUUUAUAUUCAGGCGACGCUCCACUGAGCCCGCUUUCGGUGGACCCAUUGACUAG